rnacentral:rRNA from 1 species
CAAUAGCGUAUAUUAAAGUUGUUGCAGUUAAAAGCUCGUAGUCGGAUUUCGGGUCGGGCCGAGCGGUCUGCCGAUGGGUAUGCACUGUUUGGCGCGGCCUUCUUUCCGGAGACCGCGGCUACUCUUAACUGAGCGGGCGUGGGAGACGGAUCGUUUACUUUGAAAAAUCAGAGUGUUUCUAGCAGGCAGCUCGCUCUUGCAUAGGUUAGCAUGGGAUAAUUUAAUAGGACUCUGGUGCUAUUUUGUUGGUUUCUAGGACCGAAGUAAUGAUUAAUAGGGACAGUUGGGGGCAUUAGUAUUUAAUUGUCAGAGGUGAAAUUCUUGGAUUUAUGAAAGACUAACUACUGCGAAAGCAUUUGCCAAGGAUGUUUUCAUUAAUCAAGAACGAAAGUUAGGGGAUCGAAGACGAUCAGAUACCA